UGCGUAGGCGGAAAAUUAAGUCAGUGGUGAAAUCCUGCAGCUCAACUGUAGAACUGUCAUUGAUACUGAUUUUCUUGAAUUUAGUUGAGGUAGGCGGAAUGUGUAAUGUAGCGGUGAAAUGCUUAGAUAUUACACAGAACACCGAUUGCGAAGGCAGCUUACUAAGCUAACAUUGACGCUGAGGCACGAAAGCGUGGGUAGCGAACAGGAUUAGAUACCCUGGUAGUC
rnacentral:rRNA from 1 species